UCCCUGGUGGUCCAGUGGGUAAGACUCUGCACUCCCAAUGCAGGGGGCCUGGGUUCUAUCCCUGGUCAGGGAA
rnacentral:tRNA from 1 species